rnacentral:lncRNA from 1 species
CUUGAUGUAAUCCUACAGUUAUGGGAAAGCUUUCAGUUUGUCCUUCAUGAGUUCUUACGGCAGUCUUUGCUCAUUCAUACAUAUCCUUUAUAGCUUGGAUAUAUGCUACUCGUACUCAUUUCUUCUCUAAAAUCCUCCAAAGAAUGUCUCUUGGGACCCUAUCAUACACUUUUUCCAAAUCUAUAAAGACCAUGUGUAAAUCCUUUUUCCCAUCUCUAUAUCUUUCCAUCAAUCUUCGU